GGGAGUGGUCUAAUUGUUUAAGGGAAAAGCCAAGGGCCCCUGUGUACUAUAGGGGAGCUAAGACAUUUCAUUUAUACCUGCGUUUUUGUGACAUGUUGUGGUGAAAGUAUACCCCAAUUCUUCCAAAAUUUGGGACAGAUAUCAGUAGUGUUGAAAGUAGAAUAUUACAUUUCUUAACCAGCGCUUUGGAAAAGUAAAGAUAUAAGUAUGUUGUUGAUGAGAUGGUCAUGUAAGAAAAAAGAAACUCAAUAAUUCUGCCAGGAUUACAUAUAUAUUGGCUAAAAUGAGCAGACCAGGUGACCCAGAUUUUAGAAGAAAUAGUGUAGGUAAAGAAUCUUUGUUUCUGUUAUCAUCUUUACAUGAAUUUAUAUGUGUUUUCAAUUCUCUUUGUUGACAGGGUUCCACGGACUUCACCAAAACAAUUGAUGACCAGCUGAAUGAGAUAAGAGCAGAUCUGGAGAAACAUGAGGUCAGCAGACAGAAGCUUCUAGAUUCUGUACAACAUGACCACGUUGUCCCUAGACAGGUGACUGUAAAAGAGACAGUGAAAGAACGUCAGGACUUAGAAGCAGCGGUCGGUGGGCAACCCCUAUGUGUUACAAAGCCGACGCUGAGAUUCACAGAGACAGACGACAGUGAGCUGAGAAUCACUGACAGCGGCUGUGUGGUGAAGGGUGAGGACUUGUCCUGGGAGUGGAGGUGGUGGAGAGCUGUGACAGACGGGCGUUACCAGACGGGCAGGUACUACUGGGAGCUACACAUCA